GCGAAAGUAGCUCAGUUGGUAGAGCGCAACCUUGCCAAGGUUGAGGUCGCGAGUUCGAACCUCGUCUUUCGCU
rfam:Parapedobacter luteus strain DSM 22899 genome assembly, contig: LY06DRAFT_scaffold00004.4